GACAGAGGGGGCAAGCGUUGCUCGGAAUUACUGGGCGUAAAGGGCGCGUAGGCGGGAUGGCAAGUCGGUCGUGAAAUCCUUCGGCUCAACCGAAGAACGUCGAUCGAUACUGCUGUUCUUGAGGGUUGCAGAGGAGACUGGAAUUCCCGGUGUAGCGGUGAAAUGUGUAGAGAUCGGGAGGAACACCGGUGGCGAAGGCGGGUCUCUGGGCCACUACUGACGCUGAGAAGCGAAAGCAUGGGGGAGCGAACAGG
rnacentral:rRNA from 1 species